rnacentral:tRNA from 1 species
UGGCAUAAUGGUUAAAGCACUUGGCUGCUAACUGAGGGUUGGUGGUUCGAACCCAUC